rnacentral:piRNA from 2 species
CAGAGGUCGAUGGAUCGAAACCA